CCUACGGGGGGCAGCAGUAGGGAAUAUUGCGCAAUGGGGGAAACCCUGAAGCAGCAACGCCGCGUGGAGGAUGAAGGUUUUCGGAUUGUAAACCCCUUUUGUUAGAGAAGAUAAUGACGGUAUCUAACGAAUAAGCACCGGCUAACUCCGUGCCAGUAGCCGCGGUAAUACGGAGGGUGCAAGCGUUACUCGGAAUCACUGGGCGUAAAGAGCGCGUAGGCGGGAUAGCAAGUCAGAUGUGAAAUCCUAUGGCUUAACCAUAGAACUGCAUUUGAAACUGUUAUUCUAGAGUAUGGGAGAGGUAGGUGGAAUUCUUGGUGUAGCGGUGAAAUGCGUAGAGAUCAAGAGGAAUACUCAUUGCGAAGGCGACCUGCUAGAACAUAACUGACGCUGAUGCGCGAAAGCGUGGGGAGCAAACAGGAUUAGAUACCCUUGUAGUC
rnacentral:rRNA from 1 species